rnacentral:rRNA from 1 species
CCUACGGGAGGCAGCAGUGAGGAAUAUUGGUCAAUGGACGAGAGUCUGAACCAGCCAAGUAGCGUGAAGGAUGACUGCCCUAUGGGUUGUAAACUUCUUUUAUAAAGGAAUAAAACGAGGCACGUGUGCCUUUUUGCAUGUACUUUAUGAAUAAGGAUCGGCUAACUCCGUGCCAGCAGCCGCGGUAAUACGGAGGAUCCGAGCGUUAUCCGGAUUUAUUGGGUUUAAAGGGAGCGUAGAUGGGUUGUUAAGUCAGUUGUGAAAGUUUGCGGCUCAACCGUAAAAUUGCAAUUGAUACUGGGAGUCUUGAGUACAGUUGAGGUAAGCGGAAUUCGUGGUGUAGCGGUGAAAUGCUUAGAUAUCACGAAGAACCCCGAUUGCGAAGGCAGCUUACUAAACUGUGACUGACGUUGAUGCUCGAAAGUGUGGGUAUCAAACAGGAUUAGAUACCCUAGUAGUC